AGUGAACGCUGGCGGUAGGCCUAACACAUGCAAGUCGAACGGCAGCACAGUAAGAGCUUGCUCUUACGGGUGGCGAGUGGCGGACGGGUGAGGAAUACAUCGGAAUCUACUUUUUCGGGGGGGAUAACGUAGGGAAACUUACGCUAAUACCGCAUACGACCUACGGGUGAAAGCAGGGGAUCUUCGGACCUUGCGCGAUUGAAUGAGCCGAUGUCGGGUUAGCUAGUUGGCGGGGUAAAGGCCCACCAAGGCGACGAUCCGUAGCUGGUCUGAGAGGAUGAUCAGCCACACUGGAACUGAGACACGGUCCAGACUCCUACGGGAGGCAGCAGUGGGGAAUAUUGGACAAUGGGCGCAAGCCUGAUCCAGCCAUACCGCGUGGGUGAAGAAGGCCUUCGGGUUGUAAAGCCCUUUUGUUGGGAAAGAAAAGCAGUAGGUUAAUACCCCGCUGUUCUGACGGUACCCAAAGAAUAAGCACCGGCUAACUUCGUG
rnacentral:rRNA from 1 species